rnacentral:rRNA from 1 species
GUAGUUAGCCGGGACUUAUUCCUGUGGUACCGUCCGUCCUCGUCCCACAGAAAAGCGGUUUACGACCCGAAAGCCUUCAUCCCGCACGCGGUGUCGCUGCGUCAGGGUUUCCCCCAUUGCGCAAGAUUCCUUA